CCUAGCCUGGUCCUAUACAGAAACAGUAGUCAUGCUAACUCUCCUAGCCUGGUCCUAUACAGAAACAGUAGUCAUGCUAACUCUCCUAGCCUGGUCCUAUACAGAAACAGUAGUCAUGCUAACUCUCCUAGCCUGGUCCUAUACAGAGACAGUAGUCAUGCUAACUCUCCUAGCCUGGUCCUAUACAGAAACAGUAGUCAUGCUAACUCUCCUAGCCUGGUCCUAUACAGAAACAGUAGUCAUGCUAACUCUCCUAGCCUGGUCCUAUACAGAAACAGUAGUCAUGCUAACUCUCCUAGCCUGGUCCUAUACAGAGACAGUAGUCAUGCUAACUCUCCUAGCCUGGUCCUAUACAGAGACAGUAGUCAUGCUAACUCUCCUAGCCUGGUCCUAUACAGAGACAGUAGUCAUGCUAACUCUCCUAGCCUGGUCCUAUACAGAAACAGUAGCCUGGCUAGCUAGCCAGAGACUGAGAGAAGCAGAGUUUGGCCAAAGCGAGACAUUUCAACCUGUAAAAACAUUAGACAAAGGGAAAGGGUGCAACUCUACCCUACUGCCUUCAUAAACUACAGGACAGCUCCUCAAUCGUGGUGAGCAGCAGUAGUGCUUCUGGGAUACUGAGUCUGGAAGUCCAUCAGUAGGAUCAGAGGAGCACAUGUAAAGAGUUGACCGUACUGUCUUUAUAUUCCACUCAGGUGCUAGCCGGGUCCCAUACCCUCCUACACACUAGUCCACUUCCCUAACCCCUACAAACUAGUCCCCUUCCUUAACCGCUACCCUCCUGCAGACUAGUCCCCUUCCUUAACCCCUACCCUACUACAAACUAGUCCCCUUCCUUAACCCCUACCCUCCUGCAGACUAGUCCCUUCCUUAACCCCUACCCUACUACAAACUAGUCCCCUUCCUUAACCCCUAACCUCCCACAAACUAGUCCCCUUCCUUAACCCCUAACCUCCCACAAACUAGUCCCCUUCCUUAACCCCUGCCCUCCUACACACUAGUCCACUUCCCUAACCCCUACAAACUAGUCCCCUUCCUUAACCCCUACCCUCCUGCAGACUAGUCCCCUUCCUUAACCCCUACCCUACUACAAACUAGUCCCCUUCCUUAACCCCUAACCUCCCACAAACUAGUCCCCUUCCUUAACCCCUAACCUCCCACAAACUAGUCCCCUUCCUUAACCCCUACCCUCCCACAAACUAGUCCCCUUCCUUAACCCCUACCCUACUACAAACUAGUCCCCUUCCUUAACCCCCUACCCUACAACAAACUAGUCCCCUUCCUUAACCCCUACCCUCCCACAAACUAGUCCCCUUCCUUAACCCCUACAACAAACUAGUCCCCUUCCUUAACCCCUACCCUCCCACAAACUAGUCCCCUUCCUUAACCCCUACCCUACUACAAACUAGUCCCCUUCCUUAACCCCUACAACAAACUAUCCCCUUCCUUAACCCUCUACCCUACUACAAACUAGUCCCCUUCCUUAACCCAUACCCUACUACAAACUAGUCCCCUUCCUUAACCCCUACCCUACAACAAACUAGUCCCCUUCCUUAACCCCUACCCUCCCACAAACUAGUCCCCUUCCUUAACCCCUACCCUCCCACAAACUAGUCCCCUUCCUUAACCCCUGCCCUACUACACACUAGUCCCCUUCCC
ensembl:lncRNA